rnacentral:rRNA from 1 species
AUUGAACGCUGGCGGCAGGCCUAACACAUGCAAGUCGAGCGGAUGAGGGAAGCUUGCUUCCCGAUUUAGCGGCGGACGGGUGAGUAAUGCCUAGGAAUCUGCCUAUUAGUGGGGGAUAACGUUCCGAAAGGAACGCUAAUACCGCAUACGUCCUACGGGAGAAAGUGGGGGAUCUUCGGACCUCACGCUAAUAGAUGAGCCUAGGUCGGAUUAGCUAGUUGGUGAGGUAACGGCUCACCAAGGCGACGAUCCGUAGCUGGUCUGAGAGGAUGAUCAUCCACACUGGAACAGAGACACGUUCCAGACUCCUACGGGAGACAGCAGUGGGGAAUAUUGGACAAUGGGCGAAAGCCUGAUCAAGCCAUGCCGCGUGUGUGAAGAAGGUCUUCGGAUUGUAAAGCACUUUAAGUUGGGAGGAAGAGUUGUAAGCUAAUAUCUUGCAGCUUUGACGUUACCAACAGAAUAAGCACCGGCUAACUCUGUGCCAGCCGCCGCGGUAAAAC